UAACUUAAAAGCACAGGUUUAGUUCUUUCUC
rnacentral:piRNA from 1 species